rnacentral:tRNA from 1 species
UCCGGCGCGAAGCUCGGACGACCCCCCUCGCGGCGCUCUCAUACAUCCGCGAAAAGACCGCGUCCAUGCGAGUGAGCGCCUCGUUCAACCACAGCCGAAUCGGUCGCAGCGGGUGAUUGGCCGGAACCAAGUUAUCCAGCGUGGUCAUCAUGAACAUCAAUUCGGUGUAGCCGUCCGCUCUGCGCAUCGUUUCGGUCUCAGUGUCGUUCGAUUCCUUGAUUCAACGUUUGCCCCGCCCAGUUUGCCCCUUCCAAUCAGAUCACCCGCGUAAGAUGACCCGCGUAGAGGGUAUUUCAAUAGCCUGUUAAUGGUGGACUUAGUGAGCUUAAUCAGCGUUGCCUUAGUUUAGGCGAGCAUGCAGGCCUUGUAAAUCAUAGACUUCCAAAUCACGCAGAUAACGCAGACCUUCGACCGCGGCGCGCGCGCCAGACAUCGUCGUGUAGUACGUAACCUUAUUGGCCUGCGCGCUCAUCCGGAUGGACCGCGAAUCCGCGAUAGCGGCACGCGUUUCGUCCACCGUGGUGAAUACCAGCGCGAUUUCACCAUUUUUGAUCAUGUCGACGAUAUGCGGCCGGCCGUCCUUCACCUUGUUGACAACCUUUACCGGCACGCCCGCAGCCGAAAUGGCCGCCGCCGUACCCUUCGUCGCGACGAUCGGAUAGCCCAGUUCGUGCAGCAUCUGCGCGACUUCGACGGCCUUCGGCUUGUCGGCGUCCAUCACGGUCAGCAGCACCGUGCCCGAUUCCGGCAGACGCGAGCCCGCCGCCAGUUGCGACUUGAAGAGCGCUUCGCCGAAGGUGCGGCCCACGCCCAUCACUUCGCCGGUCGAACGCAUUUCAGGUCCGAGCACCGGAUCGACCGCCGGGAGCUUGACGAACGGGAACACCGCUUCCUUCACGCUGAAGUACGGCGGAAUGACUUCCUUCGUGACACCCUGCUCCUUCAACUUCUGACCGACCAUGGCGCGUGCGGCGAUCUUCGCGAGCGGCAGACCCGUUGCCUUCGACACAUACGGUACCGUGCGCGAUGCGCGCGGGUUCACUUCCAGCACGUAAAUGAUGUCCUUCUUCGAGCCAUCAUCCUGCGGCACUUGCUGGGUCGCGAACUGCACGUUCAUCAGCCCGACUACGUUCAGCGCCUUCGCCAUUGCGGCAGUUUGUCGCUUCAGUUCGUCAACGGUUUCCUUCGACAGCGAGUACGGCGGCAGUGAGCACGCCGAAUCGCCCGAGUGCACGCCCGCCUGUUCGAUGUGCUCCAUCACACCGCCGAUGAACACGUCCGUGCCAUCGGAAAUGCAAUCCACGUCGCAUUCGAUCCCGUCAUUCAGGAAGCGGUCGAGCAGCACCGGCGAAUCGUUCGAUACCUUCACGGCUUCGCGCAUGUAGCGCCCGAGAUCGCGCGGCUCGUGGACGAUUUCCAUCGCGCAGCCACCGAGCACGUACGACGGACGCACGACCAGCGGAUAACCGAUUUCUUCGGCCAGCUUCAGCGCUUCGUCUUCCGCGCGGGCCGUGCGAUUCGGCGGCUGACGCAGGUCGAGAUCCUUGAGCAGCUGCUGGAAACGCUCGCGGUCUUCGGCGGCGUCGAUCAUGUCCGGCGACGUGCCGAUGAUCGGCACACCGUUCGCUUCGAGAUCGAGUGCGAGCUUCAGCGGCGUCUGGCCGCCGUACUGCACGAUCACGCCGACCGGCUUUUCCAGGUCGACGAUUUCGAGCACGUCUUCGAGCGUCAGCGAUUCGAAGUACAGACGAUCGGACGUGUCGUAGUCAGUCGACACCGUUUCCGGGUUGCAGUUGACCAUGAUUGUUUCAUAGCCAUCCUCGCGCAUGGCGAGCGCGGCAUGCACGCAGCAAUAGUCGAACUCGAUGCCCUGCCCGAUCCGGUUCGGGCCGCCGCCCAGUACCAUGAUCUUCUUCUUGUCGGUUGGGUUCGCUUCGCACUCUUCUUCAUAGGUCGAGUACAUGUAUGCGGUCUUGGUCGCGAACUCGGCAGCGCACGUGUCGACGCGCUUAUAGACCGGGCGCACCUUCAGUUCGUGACGCUUCUUGCGCACGUCGUCCUGCUUCGAACCGAUGAGCUUCCCCAGACGCCGAUCCGAGAAACCGCUCUUUUUCAGAUACAGCAAUUCGUCGCGCGUCAGGCUUUCGAGCGUGCGGCCCUCGAGCGCUUUUUCCUUCAGGAUGAUCUGUUCGAUCUGCGCAAGGAACCACGGAUCGAUCGAGGUCUCUUCGAAGAUCUCUUCCAUCGUCAGGCCGAGACGGAACGCAUCGCCCAGAUACCAGAUGCGAUCCGGACCCGGCUCGCCGAUUUCGCGGAGGACUUCGUCGCGGCUCGUGGUCUUUUCGUCAAGACCGUCGACGCCGACUUCCAGGCCGCGCAGCGCCUUCUGGAACGAUUCCUGGAACGUGCGGCCCAUCGCCAUCACUUCGCCGACAGACUUCAUCUGCGUGGUCAGGCGCGAAUCAGCUUCGCGGAAUUUUUCGAACGCGAAACGUGGCACCUUCGUCACGACGUAGUCGAUCGUCGCUUCGAACGAUGCCGGCGUUUGUCCGCCGGUGAUUUCGUUCUUCAGUUCGUCGAGCUUGUAGCCGCACGCGAGUUUCGCCGCGACCUUGGCGAUCGGGAAGCCCGUUGCCUUCGAUGCCAGCGCGGACGAACGCGACACACGCGGAUUCAUCUCGAUGACGACCAUGCGGCCGUCUUUCGGGUUGAUCGCGAAUUGCACGUUCGAGCCGCCGGUAUCGACGCCGAUCUCGCGCAGUACCGCGAGCGACGCGUUACGCAGCACCUGAUAUUCUUUGUCGGUGAGCGUCUGCGCCGGCGCGACAGUGAUGGAGUCGCCCGUAUGCACGCCCAUCGGGUCGAGAUUUUCGAUCGAGCAGACGAUGAUGCAGUUGUCCUUCUUAUCGCGGACCACUUCCAUCUCGUACUCUUUCCAGCCGAGCAGCGAUUCUUCGAUCAGCAGUUUGCGCGUCGGCGAAAGAUCGAGACCAUGACGGCAGAUUUCCUCAAACUCUUCCUUGUUGUACGCGAUACCGCCGCCCGAACCGCCGAGCGUGAACGACGGACGAAUCACGGUCGGAUAGCCGCCGCUGCCGGUGGCUUCCGCGAUCUGCGCCUGAACGGCGAGCGCCUCUUCCAUCGAAUGCGCGAUGCCCGACUUGGCCGAACCGAGGCCGAUCUUGGUCAUCGCGUCCUUGAACUUCUGGCGGUCUUCCGCCUUGUCGAUCGCUUCCGGCGACGCGCCGAUCAGUUCGACCUUGUACUUUUCCAGCACGCCGUGAUGGAACAGAUCGAGCGCGCAAUUCAGCGCGGUUUGUCCGCCCAUGGUCGGCAGGAUCACAUCCGGUCGCUCUUUGGCGAUGAUGCGCUCGACCACUUCCCACGAGAGCGGCUCGAUAUAGGUGAUGUCAGCCGUGUUCGGGUCGGUCAUGAUCGUCGCCGGAUUGCUGUUGACGAGGAUGACCUUGUAGCCUUCCUCACGCAGCGCUUUACAAGCUUGCGCGCCCGAGUAAUCGAACUCGCACGCCUGGCCGAUGAUAAUCGGGCCCGCGCCGAUGAUGAGGAUGCUCUUGAUGUCUGUGCGCUUCGGCAUAACUGCUCUCGAUGAAUAUUUGCGUUAACCUGUUCUGUGCUUGUGCUUUUAAGCGGCGACCUUCGCCGACUCCAUAAGCUUGAUGAAGCGGUCGAACAGAUACGCGAUGUCGUGCGGGCCGGGUGACGCUUCCGGGUGGCCCUGGAAGCAGAAUGCGGGCUUGUCGGUGAGCGCGAAACCUUGCAGCGUGCCGUCGAACAGCGAGACGUGCGUAACCUUCGCGUUGGCGCGCAGCGUCGAGGCAUCGACCGCAAAACCGUGGUUCUGCGACGUGAUCACCACACGGCCGUCGUCCAUGUCCUUCACCGGAUGAUUCGCGCCGUGAUGGCCGGUCUUCAUCUUCAUGGUUUUCGCGCCGACCGCGAGGCCCAUGAUCUGGUGGCCGAGACAGAUGCCGAAGGUCGGAAUGCCCUUCGCGAUGAACUCGCGCGUCGCGGCGAUGGCGUAGUCGCACGGUUCCGGAUCGCCCGGGCCGUUCGACAGGAAGAUGCCGUCCGGAUUGAGCGCGAGCGCGUCCGUGGCGGUCGAUUGCGCGGGCAGCACGGUCACGCGGCAACCGCGUUUGGCCAGCAUGCGCAAGAUGUUGCACUUGACGCCGUAGUCGAACGCGACAACGCGGAACUUCGGUGCUUCCUGGCCGCCGCAACCACUGCCCAGACGCCAUUCGGUCUGGGUCCACUCAUAAGGCUUUUCCGUCGAAACGACUUUCGCCAGGUCCAUGCCCGCGAGGCCGGGGAACGACCACGCGAGACCGAGCGCCUUCGCUUCGUCGUCGCUGCCGGCGAGAAUGCAGCCAUUCUGCGCGCCCUUAUCGCGAAGGAUUCGCGUGAGCUUGCGCGUGUCGAUGCCCGCGAUCGCGACGACGCCUUGCGCCUUCAGAUAGUCGGAGAGCGAUUGCUCGGAACGGAAAUUCGAUGCGAGCACUGGCAGGUCACGGAUGAUGAGGCCGGCGGCAUGGACUUUGGUGGCUUCGACGUCUUCGGCGUUCACGCCGUAGUUGCCGAUGUGCGGAUAGGUUAGCGUGACGAUCUGGCGGGCGUAACUCGGAUCAGUCAGAAUUUCCUGAUAGCCGGUGAUGGCGGUGUUGAACACCACUUCGCCGAUCGUCGAACCGGGCGCGCCGAUCGAUUGACCACGAAAGACCGUGCCGUCGGCAAGUGCGAGAAGUGCGGGGAAAAAUGACGGCAACACGGGAAGCUCCUUGGGAACACCCUGUUACCGACCUGCCUGUUCGAAACUCAGGCUGAGCACCCGACGUGCGAUGACGCGGGUUUGCUUCGCGCGUUGACGGCGGCGCGCAGACUCGCUUCGGUGGCAUCCCUGAAGCCUGUUCGCAAGGUGUGAAGACGCGUGACAGGGGCGAUCGGCGGCAUGCGGCGCUGGCGGCUGGGCGCUGCUUACGAACGGUGUGUGGGUAGGCUCUAGGGCGCGAGUUUGAUAUGCUUAAAAUGCUUAAACAGUUUUAAUUAUAGCGGGUACACGCCGAAUCCGCAAAAUUUGGGAGCUGUCUGGUUGCUUCCCGCGCGGCUCCUGACGCGCCCACACCGCAAUGUGCGCCGACGCCGACCUGGAAGCCGAAGAUCUCAACAGGAAGAUGACAAGCGUGAGCGUGGUGUUCACGCGCCCGAUCAUGUGCGGCGGGAAGUACUCCGACAUUACCGCGUAACUGAGGAUGUCCGUGCCGCCGAACACGCCGUAAGCCGCGAGCAGUAAUUCGGGCGGCAGCGGCACACGCAGCACCAUCAGCAAUUGCGUGGCGACGAACAGCGCCAUGCCCGCGCCGCAAAACGCGUAGACCGACACGCCGCGCGCCGCAGCACCGAAGCCGAUGCAGCCGAACAUCAUCGCAAAGCCGAGCACAGAGACGAAGACGAGCGCCGCCGCGCGUGGGCGUAAGUGGCAUGACAUCGAGCAGAUAGGAACGAAUCCAGAGCGAUUGCAUCGCGUAGAACACGCCCUGCAUGACGACCGAAAACGAGGCGAUUUUCCAGAACGCCGUGCUCUUGAGAAUGUGCCAGGUGCCCUUGAACUGCGUGACGAUAUCUGCCUGAUGAUGCGCGUCGGUCUUGCGCGGCGCGAACAGCGCGAUGGCUGACGCGACCACCAGCGUGAACAUACCGAGGCCGACGCAGACCUGUCGCCACGUCGCCACAUGCAGCAGCGAUGCGAGCGGCGAGCCGACCACCACGCCGCCCAGAUUGCCGACGGCCAUCGUGAAUCCGUUGAUCAACGGCAGACGCGCCACCGGAAAAUGUUGCGCGGAAGCUUUGAACGCGGUGCUCAGGCAGACCGACACACCUACGCCGAUCAGCAAUCGCCCGAUCAUCAGUCCGGCCAGACCAUGCGCCGAACCGAACGUCCAGAUGCCCGCCGCCACGAAGAUCAGCAUGCCGGCGGUGACGAGUGUCGGCCGAAGUGAUCGAGCAGCACGCCAACGGGAAUCUGCGCCAGCGCGAAGCCGAUGAAAUACAGCGACGUCAGCAGACCGAGGUCCACGACGGACAGGCCGAGAUCGUGUGCGAUAAGCGGCGCGAAGCCGAGAUUGACGCCCCGGAAUACAUAGGAAACGAAGUAUCCGGCGGCGAACAGAAAAAAAGACUCUCAGGCGAACGGAGGACGACAUGCGAUGACGAGCGCGGCGUGGGAUUAUUUUUGAAACGCCAAUUUUUAACUGGUGCUGCCAAAUGAAAACGCCGUCACCUUGGUGACGGCGUGGAAUAAACAACAGCCGAUCGACCGCGCUUAUUUCUUCUUUUUGGUGGAGGCGUGCGCCGGAGCGGCGGCCUUGGACGAAUGCGCAGCACUCGACGCGGACACCUUGCUGACCUUGGCUGGCGCGGACUUGCCCUUCGCCUUCGAUGCCGGCACGUGCGUACCGAUGCGCGACACGCCGCCCGCCGACUUGCCCGACACCGUCUCGACGCGUACCGAACCCGGUUCCGCCAGCACCGCGCGCCCGUACGGCACGUGCAGCACGACGACCUGCCCCGGCAUGAACAUUUCACGAUGCGUGCGGUUCCACGCGCGGAUCUGCCCGACCGACACGUCGUAGCGAUCGGCGAGCGUGGCGAUCGACUGCUUGCGACGCACGUGGAUCAGCAUCUUGCGCGUAUCCGGCACGUCGCGCUCGACGGCAAGCAUGGCGUUUUCAGCGACGUCGGCACUGAUGUCCUCGUCGUCAUCGGUACGCGGCACGACGAUGGUCGAACCCGGCUUCAGACGCAUGCCCGCCGGAAUGCGGUUCACCGACAUGAGUGUAUCGGCAUCGACACCGAUUUUUUCGGCGAUAGCCGCCGGGCGCGCGCGCGCGGUGACCGUAUAGGUGGUCCAAGACGACAGCGCGCCCGAAUAAGAACCGAGAUUCUUCUGGAACACCACCGCAUUGUCGAACGGCAGCAGGAUCUGCGGAUUGGUCGCGCCGAGAAUGACCGGCUUCGAGAACGACGGAUUGAGCGAGCGGAAUUCCUCGCCGCUCAUGUUCGCGAGUUUCGCAGCCAUCGUCACAUCGAUGUCGCGCGCGGUCGUCACCGUGACGAAGUACGGAUGAUUCGGAAUGUCCGGCAGCGUCAGGGCGUACAUUUGCGGAUUUGAGACGAUGUUCUUGAUCGCCUGCAGCUUCGGCACGUAAUUGCGCGUCUCGUUCAGCAUGCGCAGGCUUUCGUAGUCGGUCGACAGCCCGGCCGCUUCGUUACGCGCGAUGGCGCGCUGCACGUUGCCUUCGCCCCAGUUGUACGCGGCGAGCGCCAGAUGCCAGUCGCCGAAAAUAUCGUGCAGACGCGAGAGAUAGUCGAGCGCGGCGCUGGUCGAGGCCAGCACGUCGCGACGCUCGUCCUGCCACAUGUUCUGCUUGAGGUUAUAGUCGCGGCCGGUGCCAGGCACGAACUGCCACAUGCCCGCCGCCUUCGCAACGGACAACGCCUGUGGGUUAUAGGCGGACUCGAUGAACGGCAGCAGCGCCAGUUCCGUCGGCAUGUGGCGCUGCUCGAGUUCCUCGACGAUGUGAUAGAGGUACUUCUGCGAGCGCCCCGUCAUGCGCUCCACGUAGUCCGGGCGCUGCGCAUACCAGUCGACCUGCAUGUCGACGAGAUCGCUUUGCAGAUCAGAAAUCUGGAAGCCCGCGCGAAUGCGGGACCAGAGAUCCGCCGAGCCGGCGAGAGCCGUAACGGGGGUCUUGUCUACGUCGAUGGUUUCCUUGGCUGCGGCGGUGCGGCGAAUCGUGUCGGCGACUUUUUGCUGCGAGGCUUCGAUGGGGGUGGCAUUGGCUGUGGUGAAGCUGGGCGCUGUCGGAACUUGACUGGCGCAGGCGGCCAGCGUGAGGACGGAUAGCGCACUAAGUGUUAGUCGCAUGAACGUCUCGGCAUCCAAAGGAUGAUGCUUGGAAAUUUGAAGCCGAUGGUACGGAACCGCAUUUAAGACGUCAAUAAGAAUGCACGCAAAACCUCUGCAAAAUCCGGCAUCUAACCAAAAUCCGGCAUCUAACGGCGUUUCCUACGAUUGGGAUGAAGUUGACCACAAAUUCGUUCGGGUUAGCGGAACUUGUCCUUCCAUCUGUGCAUCAGGGUGAACGCCGUCAGGCGGUCUUCCACGGGUUCGCUGAACUGCAGCGACAGCGCCCCGCACGAUCGGAACGUCGGUUCGCAGGAAAGGAUUCACCGCUUUUUCAUGGCCGAUGGUCGUAGGCAGCGUCGGCUUGCCGGCCGCGCGCAACGCCUGGGCGUCUUCGCUCCACCGCUCGAGGUCUUCGUUUUGCUAGUCGCACGCCAGCGCGAACCGGAUGUUCGACAAGGUAUAUUCGUGCGCGCAGUGGACCUGGGUCAACUCGGGGAGCACCGCGAGCGCAUCGAGCGAUGCAGCAUCUGCUCGGCGGUGUUUUCGAACAGACGCCCGCAGCCGCUCGCGAACAGCAUGUCGCCGCAGAAAAGAUGCGGCGUGCCGCCCGGAUCGGCCGCCUGGAAAUACGCGAUAUGGCCGGCCGUGUGACCCGGAACGUCGAUCACCGACAGAUCCAUCGCGGGGUGCUCGAUACGCACCGAAUCUCCGCCGCGCAAACGCUGACCGCGCAAACGCUGAAUCAGAUGCUCGAUGCGCUCGCCGGCCGGGCCGUAGACGGGAACGCCGCCCUCGGCCUUUCGGCUAUUGAGCAGCGCUUUCACGCCGCCGACGUGGUCGUUGUGAUGGUGCGUGAGUAAAAUAGCGGUCAGCCGCGUUCGGCGAGGUACGCUUUGACCGGCGCGGCGUCGCCCGAAUCGACGACCACCGCAUCGCACGAGUCGGAAACGAGCCAGAUGUAGUUGUCUUCGAAUGCCGGUACUGGCACGUAUUCAAGCGCUUUCUGGGCAAGGUGAAUUCAUAGCGAUUCUAUGGCCUCUUGCAGGGCCGAACAUUAACGCGGCAACCGAACAUGUCAGACCGAUCGAUUAUAGACUGGCCCGCCUGGACGAGCUCCGCGCCCGGACGCUACGUGCUCGACUGGGAGCAAGCGCUGCUCGAUCAAGUGAUCUCGGACAUCUUCGGCUAUCACGCGUUGCAGCUCGGCAUGCCACAACUCGACGCGCUGCGCGAGAACCGCAUGACCGGCCGCGCGCUCGUGCUCGACACGGAAAGCGGCGCGAGCGCGCCGUACACCAUGCCGUGCGCGGCAUCGCCGGGCGUGAGCGCCCUGCCCGCCGCCAGCGCGCCCGAGGGACGCAGCACCGUAUGGUGCGAUCUGCUCGAUCUGCCCUUCGAGGCGCAAAGCGUCGAUCUGCUUGUGCUGCCGCACACGCUCGAAUUUUCGCCCGAUCCGCACCGGCUGUUGCGCGAAGCCGAGCGCGUGCUCUUGCCUGAAGGCCAGUUGAUCAUCCUCGGCUUCAAUUCGUUGAGCCUGUGGGGUGCGCGACAGUCGCUGGGCAAGGUCGCGGGACGGCCAUUCGUGCCAGCGGCGCAUGAAAUGAUCGCGUUCACGCGGAUCAAGGACUGGAUCAAGCUGCUCGGCUUCGACUUUGAACGCGGACACUUCGGCUGCUAUCGUCCGCCGCUUCUCACGGACAAAUGGCUGCAACGCUAUCGUUUCAUGGAACCGGCCGGCGACCGCUGGUGGCCCAUUUUCGGUGCGGCAUACAUGAUCACGGCGGUGAAGCGCGUGCGCGGCAUACGACUCAUCGGUCCGCGCAAGCUCAAGAAACCCGCGCUCGCGCCCGGUCUCGCGCCGGUCGCCGCUCCGCACACUCGCAACGAGAUUGAUGACUGAAUCCGCAUCGAACAAGGUAAUCGACAUCUACACGGACGGCGCUUGCAAGGGCAACCCGGGCCCGGGCGGCUGGGGCGCGCUGUUGCGCUACGGCUCUACGGAGAAGGAACUGUUCGGCGGCGAGCCCGCGACCACCAACAACCGCAUGGAACUGAUGGCCGUCAUCGCCGCGCUCGAAGCGCUCAAGCGGCCGUGUCAGUCCGUAAUCCACACCGAUUCGCAAUAUGUGCAAAAAGGCAUCAGCGAAUGGAUUCACGGCUGGAAGAAAAAGAACUGGAUGACCGCCGCCAAGACGCCCGUAAAAAACGCCGACCUGUGGAAACGGCUCGAUGCACUGGUCGCGCAGCAUGAGGUCGAAUGGCGCUGGGUCAAGGGCCACGCCGGGCAUCCCGAGAACGAACGCGCCGAUGCGCUCGCCAAUCGCGGCGUGACAUUGCUCGCCGAAAGCUAAUCGCACGCACAACACGCACAUCUUCAUGCGCCAACUGAUACUGGACACGGAAACCACCGGCCUCAACGCCAAGACAGGCGACCGGAUCAUCGAAAUCGGCUGCAUCGAGCUGAUCAACCGGCGGCUCACUGGCAACAACCUGCAUCUGUACGUGAAUCCCGAGCGCGACAGCGAUCCGGGCGCACUGGCCGUGCACGGCCUCACCACGGAAUUCCUGAGCGACAAGCCCAAGUUCGGCGAAAUCGCCGCGCAGUUGCGCGACUUCAUCGCGGGUGCGGAGCUGAUCAUCCACAACGCGCCGUUCGACGUCGGCUUUCUCGAUGUCGAGUUCGGCAUGCUCGGCUUUCCGAAGGUGGCCGAGACCUGCGCGAGCGUGAUCGACUCGCUCGCGCAGGCCAAGCAGAUGUUCCCCGGCAAGCGCAAUUCGCUCGAUGCCUUGUGCGACCGCUUCGGCAUCAGCAACGCGCAUCGCACCUUGCACGGCGCACUGCUCGACUCGGAACUGCUCGCGGAAGUCUAUCUAGCGAUGACGUGCGGUCAGGAAAGCCUCGUCAUCGACAUGCUGGGCGAUCAGCCGAUGGAAGGCGCGGUCGCGACUGUGCGCGUCGCGCUCGAUGAUCUCGAUCUGUCGGUGAUCGUCGCGAGCGGCUACGAACUCGCCGCGCACGAAGCCGUACUGAACGACCUCGACAAGGCGAUCAAAGGCACGAGCGUCUGGCGCAAGGAAAAGACUCAGGCUGCGGGCGAUACCGUCGCCGCAUAAUUUUUUGCGAAUUUGCUUAAAGAAGCUCUUUACGAAUAGAAGCUCUUUACGAAUCGCGAAACGCCUGACAUAAUUUUAUCGUUAUUCGGGUGGUUAGCUCAG